CCUUUUUCAAUCCUAGGUUGAAACAGGAUUGGUUAAUUGCUAUACUUUCCUCACUAGAUCAGGGUAGCAUAAUAGGCUUUUACAAGUCCUGCGCAGUGGCGGCAGACCACGUGAACAGCAGCUUCAUAUUUGACUUUGGAGAUGAAGGAAGCCUGUCUAUUGCUUCUCGGCUUUGCAACGAUACAGACUGCCAGCCUUCAUUUGACUGUCCCACUAAAAUACCAUUCGCUGCAAAAGGAUGUGCUCGUACUGACUAUGAUGGUGAUAUCUCCGAGAAAGCACCAGUGACAAUUGAGUCGGGAAUAUACACCUACAAAUUUGUCAAAGUCACCUUUCGACCCGCCAACAGUGCUUUGGCAGCCAUGCGACGCAUCGCGUUUACUCUGGACUACAAAGACCUUGGUCCUCAACUUGCUUUUUUCUUCCCAUGCUUCUUGGGCGUCUUUGCGGUGAAAAUCUUUUCCUGAUGAAGAAAGAGCCAGCUAGCAUCUUGGACAGCUUAAGGCAUAAUGACGAUCCCUUUGCAAACUGAUACAGUAUUUUUAAUGCUUAUUCAAAAAACGGUGAGGUAUAGAUUUAAAUAUAAAUAAAAGUCACCUGGCUAAACUUAUCUGAGUGUGA
rnacentral:lncRNA from 1 species